GCGCGGUUGGCGUAGUAGUCAACGCGUUCGCUCAGUAAAUGGCACUUCGAACGCCCACAGUGUCCGCUGUCAGUCCCCUUCGGGGGGUGUGCCACUGAUUGUGGAAGUUCCCGGGUUCGAAUCCCGAACCGCGCA